rnacentral:rRNA from 1 species
GAGUUUGAUUCUGGCUCAGGAUGAACGCUGGCGGCGUGCGUAACACAUGCAAGUUGGACGACGGUGCUAUGAAGUGGUAACACGGAAUGGUAUACGGAGUAGCGGACGGGUGAGUAAAGCAUGAGGAGCUGUCCUGUUGAGGGGGAUAACGUUCGGAAACGGACCCUAAUACCCCAUAGGCCGAGAGGUUAAAGGCAGAGAUGCGCGACAGGAGGUACUCGUGUCCUAUCAGCUGGUUGGUGAGGUAACGGCUCACCAAGGCGACGACGGGUAGCCGGCCUGAGAGGGUGACCGCCCACACUGGAACUGAGACACGGUCCAGACUCCUACGGGAGGCAGCAGUGGGGAAUAUUGGGCAAUGGGAGGAAUCCUGACCCAGCGACGCCGCGUGAAUGAAGACGGCCUUACGGGUUGUAAAGUUCUUUUAUGUGGGAAGAAGGAAGUGA